CCUACGGGAGGCAGCAGUGAGGAAUAUUGGUCAAUGGACGAAAGUCUGAACCAGCCAAGUAGCGUGAAGGAUGACUGCCCUAUGGGUUGUAAACUUCUUUUAUAUGGGAAUAAAACGUUCCACGUGUGGGGUUUUGUAUGUACCAUAUGAAUAAGGAUCGGCUAACUCCGUGCCAGCAGCCGCGGUAAUACGGAGGAUCCGGGCGUUAUCCGGAUUUAUUGGGUUUAAAGGGAGCGUAGGUGGAUUGUUAAGUGAGUUGUGAAAGGUUGGGGCUCAACCGGAAAAUUGCAGUUGAAACUGGCAGUCUUGAGUACAGUAGAGGUAGGCGGAAUUCGUGGUGUAGCGGUGAAAUGCUUAGAUAUGACGAAGAACCCCGAUUGCGAAGGCAGUUCACUGGACUGCAACUGACACUGAGGCUCGAAAGUGUGGGUAUCAAACAGGAUUAGAUACCCGGGUAGUC
rnacentral:rRNA from 1 species